GUGGGGAAUCUUGCGCAAUGGGCGAAAGCCUGACGCAGCCAUGCCGCGUGAAUGAUGAAGGUCUUAGGAUUGUAAAAUUCUUUCACCGGGGACGAUAAUGACGGUACCCGGAGAAGAAGCUCCGGCUAACUUCGUGCCAGCAGCCGCGGUAAUACGAAGGGGGCUAGCGUUGCUCGGAAUUACUGGGCGUAAAGGGCGCGUAGGCGGACAGCUUAGUCAGAGGUGAAAGCCCAGGGCUCAACCUUGGAAUUGCCUCUGAUACUGGCUGUCUUGAGUUUGGGAGAGGUGAGUGGAACUCCGAGUGUAGAGGUGAAAUUCGUAGAUAUUCGGAAGAACACCAGUGGCGAAGGCGACUCACUGGCCCGUUACUGACGCUGAGGCGCGAAAGCGUGGGGAGCAAACAGGAUUAGAUACCCUAGUAGUCC
rnacentral:rRNA from 1 species